rnacentral:lncRNA from 1 species
GGGCAUACCCGUUACUAACAAUUUCUUAUUUGUUAUAAAGCUAAUAACCCUUGUGGCUUGAACCAUAAUUUUUCAAGUGGUGAUCAAACUAUUGUUGAUACAAUGUGUUAGUUAUUGGGUAUGCAAUAUUGUUCUUUAUAUCAAGUCUUGCUACAUUUAUAUCUCUCCUUUCAAUGACUUCUCUUAUUAGAUGAUAUCUACAUAGUACAUGCUUCAAAAAUUGAUUAGACCUUAGCUCCUUAGCUUGUGUUAUAGUUUCAUUGUUGUCGAAAUCAACUAGGUCAAUGAUACUUUAGACUACCGCAUGGCUUCUAUGAAUUUAUGUAUCUACAUUACUUUCUUUAUUACUUC